rnacentral:lncRNA from 1 species
UCAGUCCUCCAUAGAAAAUGGCAUCGGGACAAAAGAAGACCUGAAGAAAUUGGGGGCAUUACACGGUUAUCAUCACACGGUCAGCUGACAUUGUAUUUAUGGGGAGCGCACGCCCGGGUAAUCAAACAUAAAGGAAGGCGGCCACUCAGCCGCUGGGAACUGCAGAUGAGGGGACUGAGCUGUAGGGAGACAUCGUGGCUUCUGGGGGCCAGGGCUUGUGCAGCCUCUUCCAGCUCACCUCAUUGUCUCCUGCAGGGAGCAGGUUGGAUUUCUCGGGCUCAGGAUGGCAAGUGUGGCUACUAAAGUGGGGUCUGUGGCCUUGCUGAGCGCAGCAGGCUAGCGGGGCGUUCCCCGAGCAUUCCGCAGCAGCUGCUUCAGCCGUACACGGCUCAGUGUCCUGCCAGGUACGACUUGUCCCCGUUUGCUCCGAUGACAUUUUGAAGCCACUCUUUCACCACAAAGAUGACAGAGCAGGGUGUGGAGUGCGUCUUAGCUCAGAGGAGUGCCACUUUGCUGUGAUCGUGGCUCAGAGGAGCUUCUUCUCCAGGGAUGCUGCCUUCAUGACGCUGACCACGCCAUCCCAGCCUUCGCCGCCCGCUUCUGCCAGCCUGGCUCUUCCCACACACAUUUCUACCACGUAACAAAGAACUGGACCCUCCAGUGCCAUGGGAAACCAGGCUGUCAUGUGAGUUCUUUGGGAAAACGAGAGCUGGGAGAGGAGAGGGUGAGAUGGGAAAACACACAGCGAGUUAGUCCCCUCAGAAGGAAACGAACAAACGCCACGGAAACGUGACUUUGCAGGACAAGAGGCAGGACCCCGCAACCUUCAGUGAUAACACAAGGGGACCCCGGUGGAAAUCCUGGCCAGAGCAAACUGUUCUGUCCACUCUGAGCUCCCUAGACCUCCAUCCACCGAGAUAGGUUUAGCUGUCCCGUGGGGACCAGCCCCGUGGACCUUUCCCUCCAAGCCCAGAUGGUGGCCAGGACAGCCAGGCGGUGGGAGGCGCCCCACAGGCCCCUAGAAGAUGAGAGACCCCAAUGGGGAUGGGAGACCCACCCCCCUGGGGGCACGGGGAGUGCUGCAGACAGGGAGGAUUUCCUAGGACGAGAGCUUUUCCACCGGCUCCCUCUGGGCCUGGGGAGCCUUCAUCCUCAGUCCUGAAAUGAGGCGGUCACCCCUGACCAGGGGGCUUUGGCUCCUGGUAUUUCCCGGUCCGUCACGAAGGUCCUUUUCCUUUAAGUGCCGGCCAGAGCCUGAGCGCUCCGAGGGAGUCCCGUCUGGCCACCUUGCCUUCAGCAAACCGAGUGGUUUUAUCUGGAUACACACGUGCAUCUUGUAUCCAAGUAUGUAGAAUUGUAAAAAUGAAAG